GGGCCUGUAGAUCAGUAGCAGAUCGCUUGACGCACACUCAAGAGGUCACGGGUUCAAUUCCCGUCAGGUCCA
rnacentral:tRNA from 1 species